GUUUUUUAAAUUCAAUAGCUUCCUUGCUUUUUAAUGUCCAUCUAUUCCACACACAUACACAGUUUAUCAAUUUCAAAGGCAACAAGACUCAUUUUUUUACUAUAAAUAUUUUGUAAAAAUCAAAUUGUUGGCACAUAUUUUAAAAGCAGAAAGCCAUUCUCCAUCUUUAAUUACGUUCAAGGAAGCUGUAGAAGUCUGGAAAUUGAAAUAUUCUCUUGGAUUAUUCUUUCAAAAGUUCGUUGAUCUAACGAGGUAGGAUACUAUGUACAAGUUGUUCCAUCCUUUUAAUAUUAUAAUUUUUGAUGUGAUUUAUUUCAUGAAAUGCUAAUUGACCUACUGGUCCCUAUGAAGUGAAAUAAAAUGUGAGAUCUCCUUCGGGUCUUCUCAAAUAUGUUAGAGUAUUUGAUUGAUCACCGAUUGCCCUUGAUGAAAUGCUGGUAUGGAAUGUUGUAAAUUCAUGUUUUAAAAGUUAUUAUAUUGUUUGGAUGCACGAAUCCUACUGAGUAUAAUUUAGUCAUUCCUUCAAUUUUAACAUUUUAGGUUAGAUCGAUCGACGUGGAUGGUGGUUGAGCGGUGUGCGGGUUGCCAAGUAAAGAAAUUUUCAAGAAAAAAAUUUAAAAAUAAUUCUUCUAGGACAUUUUGUGUUUCCAUUGAUUUCCAUUUAACGUUUCAUAUUACCUGACAAUACAUUUAUUUGAUUUAGCCUUUGAGUAUUAAAUAAAUUAGGAGUUUUAAAGUUCCAAUUUAUAUUUUCACUUGAUGUAUGUUUAUGAAAUGAUAUUGGUAACACCUCAAUUUUUAAAUCGAUAAAAUUUGGGGCGUUACAACAUCCUUG
rnacentral:lncRNA from 1 species